rnacentral:rRNA from 1 species
UACAGAGGUCCCAAGCGUUGUUCGGAUUCACUGGGCGUAAAGGGUGCGUAGGUGGUGGGGUAAGUCUGAUGUGAAAUCUUCGAGCUUAACUCGGAAAUGGCAUUGGAUACUACUCUGCUAGAGGUUUGGAGGGGGGACUGGAAUUCUCGGUGUAGCAGUGAAAUGCGUAGAUAUCGAGAGGAACACCAGUGGCGAAGGCGAGUCCCUGGACAACACCUGACACUGAGGCACGAAAGCGUGGGGAUCAAACAGG